GCGCACCAGGCGCGAAAACUUUACAAUGCGGGAAACCGUGAUAAGGGGACACCGAGUGCCAGCAUCAUAUGCUGGCUGUCCAGGUGUGUAAAAUACACCUGUUAGCAAGGGCCGGGCAAGACCGGUGCCAGCCGCCGCGGUAACACCGGCGGCCCGAGUGUUGAUCGUGAUUAUUGGGUCUAAAGGGUCCGUAGCCGGUUUGGUCAGUCCUCCGGGAAAUCUGAUAGCUCAACUAUUAGGCUUUCGGGGGAUACUGCCAGACUUGGAACCGGGAGAGGUAAGAGGUACUACAGGGGUAGGAGUGAAAUCUUGUAAUCCCUGUGGGACCACCUGUGGCGAAGGCGUCUUACCAGAACGGGUUCGACGGUGAGGGACGAAAGCUGGGGGCACGAACCGGAUUAGAUACCCCUGUAGUCC
rnacentral:rRNA from 1 species